GGGGUCGUCGUCGUCAUAGUCGGGGUCGGGGUCGAGGUCGUCGUUGUCAUAGUCAGGGUCGGGGUCGGGGUCGUCAAAAAAGGAUCCGGAUUCUGGAUCGGGUUCAGAGUCAAAGUCUGCAUCUGUAGGAGCGGAGCCAUCUGGGCACUCAACUCAAUGAUGGUUGGUGGAGAAUGAGAGAAGGAGUCGGUGGUGCUACCUCUAUGAGGGGUGAAAAAAUCAUCAACCCCCAUAGCAGCGGCGGGGGUUUGAAACUAGAGUCAGCAAUUCCAAGAUCGCCGCUCUGAUACCAUGCUAAAAUAUGAAAACUAUGAGAGAAUAUUUGUUUGUGGGAAUUUUCUAUGUAUUCUUCUCCUUGUAGGAGGUCAUAUUUAUAAUACAACGAAACCUGAAUGGGCAAGUAAAUAAUAAAUUCCUAAAUCUAUUUGCAGUAGGAAAUCAGGAAUUAAAGUAAAUCAAUUACAAUUAUAAUAGGAAUUCUUAGUGUGUAAGGAAAGUAAGUCAAUAUCCACAAGUCACGCCAACAUAUAUAUCAUGCAAAUUAUGGUUCAACUACAUUCUUACUAAGGAAAGAUAUGUAUUUAUAAAAUAAAAAAAAAUAAAAAAAAUAGGGGCCCGAAUCAGUUGAAAAAUAAACAUUAAAAACCACCAGUUUGACAAAGAAAAACAUUAAGUUUCACCAAAUCGAUCUGCAGUAAUAGUUUUCGAAAGUAGUUUUCCGAGGUAGGUUCUAUUUUAACCCGUUUAAUUCAAGACAAGAAAGCUUGGCAGGAACGCUUCAAAUAGACUACUGU
rnacentral:lncRNA from 1 species